ACAUUCAGGACUGCUAUCCCUCCAUUUGGGCAGCUCCAAGUAUGGUUGGUUUGCGCAGAUGGAUAACUGCUGGCUUGAAUACCAAGUUGUAAGAUGGUUAGAUGAGAAGGUUGAAGUCUGGUUUUGGGUGUCUGCACGUCAGGGGCGGAGUUGGGCGGAGGAACAGCGCCUUGGACCUCUGAUUACCACCUCUCCACUCACACGUAGUGAGUAGGAGCUCUAUGUGUGUGAUGUUGUAGAAGAUCUAGAACAUUUGAACUUAUGAUUGGUGUGUUUGUGGGGUUGAACUUGUCAAUUGGUAGGGUGGUGCCACAAUGUAAUGGCACCCAAUGUGAAUAUGUACUCUACCCUUGAACUUUGUGA